UGACAAGGUUGCAAGGAGAAAGUCCCAAGUGGCCUGCCAUUCGCAAGGAGAGAAUAACAGCAUCUGUUUCUGGUGAUAUUGUGAAGCGUAGAGUAGAUUUUGGACCUUUAAUUAAAAGAUUGAAGACAACAAGAAAAGUCGUCACAGAGAGUAUGCGACACGGAUUGUCAUUCGAGGCAGUCGCUGCUGAAGCCUUUGUACAAUUGCAAAACAACAAUGUCAACAUAUACCCUUGUGGAAUCAUUGUCAGUCCUUAUGCUUCCUGGCUUGCUGCUAGCCCAGACAGAAAGGUAUACAACCCAACUAUGAACCCCCCUUAUGGUUUGCUAGAGAUAAA